CCUCAGCCUUCUGCACAAAAACAUCCCUGCCCCGCCCAGGAAGUGACCCUGAGGGUGGUGCUGCCAGCCCGAGGGCCUCCCUGGGGCCCCGGUGAGCGGACAGGCCUUUCCCAGGCACCCUCCUCUGCUUCUGUGUGUGAUCUUUUUAAAUGCUCUUGAAACCAUGAAAGGACGGAAGGUCAUGCACCAUAUGUGCUCACUGUAACCUCUUCCCUGGCAAGUGCGAGGAACAUACGACUUCCAGACAAAGCAUAUCCAUUCAUCCUUCGUUGUGACAAAAAGGAAAGGUGCAGUGCACCGUCGCUGUCCUGUGGACGAGGCCAUUUCAUCUCUUUCAUGGAGCUGUUAGGCAGGUCCGAGCUGCACAGCAAAGGCAGUGGGACGCUUGCCGGGAACCUGCCUGUACCUGAUGCGACCUACUCUGAGGGAAAGGACACGAACAAUUGUUAUUCAUUAGUUAGUUUAUUUUAUUCUUUUGUUCAAUAAACUAUAUGGGGCCCUCAACUUUGAA